rnacentral:rRNA from 1 species
GACGAACGCUGGCGGCGUGCCUAAUACAUGCAAGUAGGACCACAGUUUAUACCGUAGCUUGCUACACCAUAGACUGUGAGUUGCGAACGGGUGAGUAACGCGUAGGUAACCUGCCUAUUAGAGGGGGAUAACUAUUGGAAACGAUAGCUAAUACCGCAUAACAGUAUGUAACACAUGUUAGAUGCUUGAAAGAUGCAAUUGCAUCGCUAGUAGAUGGACCUGCGUUGUAUUACUAGUAGGUAGGGUAAAGGCCUACCUAGGCAACGAUACAUAGCCGACCUGAGAGGGUGAUCGGCCACACUGGGACUGAGACACGGCCCAGACUCCUACGGGAGGCAGCAGUAGGGAAUCUUCGGCAAUGGGGGGAACCCUGACCGAGCAACGCCGCGUGAGUGAAGAAGGUUUUCGGAUCGUAAAGCUCUGUUGUUAAGGAAGAACGAGUGUGAGAAUGGAAAGUUCAUACUGUGACGGUACUUAACCAGAAAGGACG